GGAAAAGCUUAGCUUAUAUUUUUAUAUCAAACUAAGAAUUUUUUGCAUAACACUUUUUAGUGUUAUGUAAAAAUGAUCGUACACAGAAUAUUGUUAUAUUUAAUGUAAGUUUAUGCUUCCUAGAAUUAAAUUCUUUAACAAAUAAAAUACAGAUAAAAAUGGAAAAUAUAAUUUUUUAACAUGCAAAAAGAAUACUGUAAGAAAACUAGACAAAUCUCAUUGAUGAAAGGAUCAGUAGUGCGUUUACCACUAGAUGCGCGCCUAGGGCUCCAAUCUUCAGAAAUACCAAAAUGCAUUUUCUUAUUUAGUUUACGAACACUAGAGACUUCAAAAUUCCUUAACGCCGAGGGCCCUCAAGAGACAAAACAAACCACUGUUAUAUAUGAUGUUUAAUAUAAUGUAAAGUAUGAUAUUAAAUAUUUGUGUUGUAUGAUUUAAAUUUGAAAGUGUUGUUAUUCUUAUAUAUUUUUGAAGUCCUUUAAUUAUUUUCAUCAUCAAAUAACAUAUUCAUCACGAAAGAAAAAAAUGAAAAGCUUCUUUAAUUUUGUAUUUGAACGUCAUCUUAAACUAUAGAAACAUUAUAUUGAACCUUAAAUAUAGCUGUGAUCCAAUUUUUCCCUAUAGAAUAAUCAAAUAAGUUAUAAAAUUGGAAUCGAUGAAUCGAUUAC
rnacentral:lncRNA from 1 species